CGGAGGGGGCGGAGUCCGCCGGCGGCAGGGGGCGGGGGCGGGGAGCGCAGGAGAGGGUCCGGCGGGGGGGGGGGGGGCGGGGCGGGGCCUGGACACCCGAGCGCCCGGGGGGCGGGGCCUGGCCGCGCGUGGGCGUGGCGGUCGGGCGUUGCGGUAGAGGGGACCCGUGGCGGUCGGUGGUCGGUGGCCGUUGGCUUGGCGGUUGGCAAGGCUCGGAACUGUGGACUCGUGCCCGGGGGCGGGGUCAUUCGUAUCCGCUCUCUGAACCGCCGCCACCCCAAGCUGCAAAGAGCUUCAGCUCCAGCGCGGUUAAUCCGUAGAGAGAGGCCAGAGAGCAUGGCCAGACCCAACAGACGAAGCCACAGGGAGGCCAGUUGAGACUUGACUGAAGAAGGUAAGGACCGAGGGGCUGAGCACCCCAUGCCUGGGAUCCAGCAGUCAUUUGCCAGGAAGGCUGAGCCCCGGGGUGGCAAGAGCGUGGUUUUGGAAAGGAGAAGUGUCUCUGCUUCUGGCGUAGAGUUGGUCAUUUAUUUUUUUUUAUUUUUAUUUUUUUAUUUAUUUAUGAUAGUCACGGAGAGAGAGAGAGAGGCAGAGACAUAGGCAGAGGGAGAAGCAGGCUCCAUGCAUCGGGAGCCCGAUGUGGGACUCGAUCCCGGGUCUCCAGGAUCGCGCCCUGGGCCAAAGGCAGGCGCCAAACCGCUGCGCCACCCAGGGAUCCCGAGUUGGUCAUUUAGUUCUCCAAGCCCGCACGUCCUCAUUUCUGAACCAUUGGUGAGAAAGCGCUCCGCACAGCAAGGCCGGCGGGAGCUCUGUCCAAGGUGGCGCACCAGGGUGGAGCACAACCAAGGCUGGAGUGUACUCACUGACACCAGAGCUACUCUGUCGACGCUGCACUACAACAGCCUCAUCCUGGGGAUUAGCAGCAAAGUGGAUGCCAUUGGAUUAGAGAUUAUAAUUGGCAAGGGAGAUCUUCUGCUAAAGGAAGACUGCUUGGAGCAACAAACCCACUUUUCAACUGAGAAUACAUUGGUACAACAGAGAAAUGUGUGCAGUCUGAACAGACGCAGAGCCCAGCCCCUUGUUGAUUGCCAAGUCGUCUGA
rnacentral:lncRNA from 1 species